UACGGAGGAUCCAAGCGUUAUCCGGAUUUAUUGGGUUUAAAGGGUGCGUAGGCGGCCUAUUAAGUCAGAGGUGAAAGACGGUAGCUCAACUAUCGCAGUGCCUUUGAUACUGAUGGGCUUGAAUGAACUAGAGGUAGGCGGAAUGAGACAAGUAGCGGUGAAAUGCAUAGAUAUGUCUCAGAACACCGAUUGCGAAGGCAGCUUACUAUGGUUUUAUUGACGCUGAGGCACGAAAGCGUGGGAUCAAACAGG
rnacentral:rRNA from 1 species